rnacentral:rRNA from 1 species
AGUGAACGCUGGCGGUAGGCCUAACACAUGCAAGUCGAACGGCAGCACAGUAAGAGCUUGCUCUUACGGGUGGCGAGUGGCGGACGGGUGAGGAAUACAUCGGAAUCUACUUUUUCGUGGGGUAUAACGUAGGGAAACUUACGCUAAUACCGCAUACGACCUACGGGUGAAAGCAGGGGAUCUUCGGACCUUGCGCGAUUGAAUGAGCCGAUGUCGGAUUAGCUAGUUGGCGGGGUAAAGGCCCACCAAGGCGACGAUCCGUAGCUGGUCUGAGAGGAUGAUCAGCCACACUGGAACUGAGACACGGUCCAGACUCCUACGGGAGGCAGCAGUGGGGAAUAUUGGACAAUGGGCGCAAGCCUGAUCCAGCCAUACCGCGUGGGUGAAGAAGGCCUUCGGGUUGUAAAGCCCUUUUGUUGGGAAAGAAAGGCAGCAGGCUAAUACCCCGCUGUUCUGACGGUACCCAAAGAAUAAGCACCGGCUAACUUCGUG